GGGUUGUGAGGUUAAGCGACUAAGCGUACACGGUGGAUGCCCUGGCAGUCAGAGGCGAUGAAGGACGUGCUAAUCUGCGAAAAGCGUCGGUAAGGUGAUAUGAACCGUUAUAGCCGGCGAUGUCCGAAUGGGGAAACCCAGUGCAAUUCGUUGCACUAUCGUUAACUGAAUACAUAGGUUAACGAGGCGAACCGGGGGAACUGAAACAUCUAAGUACCCCGAGGAAAAGA
rnacentral:rRNA from 4 species